CUUAGGUGGACAAAGCAAAUGGAAAACGUUUUGUUGAACACUGCGUUUAAUCAAUUGCUAGAUUUAUUUUCUUCUUCGUCGUGAUAUCAAGCUUGAAUGCUCGCUGUGAUACCAAUCUUCUUCUUCGGCGUGAUUUCAGCUUCUUCACCAAAUCAAAAUCUUCUGUUUUUUUCUCCUUGUUUCUCUUCAAUUUUGAUUUCAUGGGUUUGUUUUUUUUCCGCGAAUGGGUUUGAACAAGCUGUAUAAUUGUAGGGUUUGAUUUGUUUCCGUGAUUAUGAAUCGAAUUAUGAAAAAAGUUUGGAUCUUUUUGGGAUUUUUCUUUUCUUACAAUUGUUGAAAUUUUAAUGUGGGACAAAGAUUGAUACUUUAUGUUGUGUAAAUUGAAAUUUUUUGUUUUGUUUUUCGUAGAGAGAAAAUUCUCUGGUGAACGUGUGCAGUUUAGCCGAGACCCGUUGCUUCAUGUCAAACAGUCGGUUCAAGUCUCUGAGGAUAUCCUAAGGCGCUGUAAGGAAAUCACAGUUGAGCUUUUUGUCCAAGAUCAGAGUUGAGGGAAUCGUGCAGCCGAGAGUAAACCAACAAACCAGCCUCAGAAUCGUUAUUCCCAGCCUAAUACCCGUGACUGGCAUAGUCGUCCGCAGGUUCCAACCUCUGGUAAAAAAUGGUUAAGAGACGACUCUCGUGAACCUAAAAAUACAUCUCAAUGGCGUGAUGAUGAUCUUGUGAAACAGUCUGGUCCUGCUCCUGUGCUGGUGAAAGCAGAAGUCCCAUGGUCAGCUAAAAGUGGAGCUCUUUCAGAUCAAGACCGAGUCCUCAAAACUGUGAAAGGUAUUCUGAACAAGCUUAUCCCGGAGAAGUACGAGCUUCUUAAACGGAGAAGUACGAGCUUCUUAAAGGUCUAUUGAUUGAUUCUGGCAUCACUUCUGCUGAUAUCCUAAAGGGAGUGAUACAGCUGAUUUUUGAGAAUGCUAUACUGCACUCGACGUCCUGCGAGUUGUACGCUUGUUUGUAUUUUGAUAUUAACGGAAAGCUUCCUUCGUUUCCACCUGAGGAACCUGGUGGCAAAGAAGUAACUUUCAACAACAGGGGAUACACAUUUAUGAAAUUGCUCAGCAAUUGAAGAUCCCAAAGAACAAGCUAAAGGGAGUUAUCCAAUCACUAGAAGGAGAUGGUCUAAUAUAGUACUCGACAAUCGAUGAGUAUCACUUCAAUUAGAGUUUGGUUAAUCCGUAGAUAAAAGAGUCAUUAGUAUUGUCUGGUGGUUUGAGAGAUAUUUUCAAUUUCUAGAACCUAGGAUCACGUUUAUAUAGCUCACUUUUGUUGUUUCAUAGGACAGGUGACCAAUUCUCGCUUAGGGGUAUACCAUUUUUUUUUAACAGUAAAUAUGUAUUUCAAUUUAAUAGCAAA